rnacentral:rRNA from 1 species
GAGUUUGAUCCUGGCUCAGGAUGAACGCUGGCGGCGUGCUUAACACAUGCAAGUCGAGCGAAGCGCUUACGACAGAACCUUCGGGGAAAGAUGUAAGGGACUGAGCGGCGGACGGGUGAGUAACGCGUGGGUAACCUGCCUCAUACAGGGGGAUAACAGUUGGAAACGGCUGCUAAUACCGCAUAAGCGCACAGUACCGCAUGGUACGGUGCGAAAAACUCCGGUGGUAUGAGAUGGACCCGCGUCUGAUUAGCUAGUUGGAGGGGUAACGGCCCACCAAGGCGACGAUCAGUAGCCGGCCUGAGAGGGUGAACGGCCACAUUGGGACUGAGACACGGCCCAGACUCCUACGGGAGGCAGCAGUGGGGAAUAUUGCACAAUGGGGGAAACCCUGAUGCAGCGACGCCGCGUGAAGGAAGAAGUAUCUCGGUAUGUAAACUUCUAUCAGCAGGGAAGAAAAUGACGGUACCUGACUAAGAAGCCCCGGCUAACUACGUGCCAGCCGCCGCGGUAAUUC